UACGUAGGGGGCGAGCGUUGUCCGGAUUUAUUGGGCGUAAAGAGCUCGUAGGCGGUUUGGCAAGUCGGGUGUGAAAACUCCGGGCUCAACUCGGAGACGCCACUCGAUACUGCCAUGACUCGAGUCCGGUAGGGGAGUGCGGAAUUCCUGGUGUAGCGGUGAAAUGCGUAGAUAUCAGGAGGAACACCGGUGGUGUAGACGGCUCUCUGGACCGUAACUGACGCUGAGGCACGAAAGCGUGGGUAGCAAACAGG
rnacentral:rRNA from 1 species